rnacentral:rRNA from 1 species
AUAUGCCUUUAGGUGGGGGACAACAGUUGGAAACGACUGCUAAUACCGCAUAAUGUCUACGGACCAAAGAGGGGGACCUUCGGGCCUCUUGCCUUUAGAUUAGCCCAAGUGAGAUUAGCUUGAUGGUGGGGUAAUGGCCUACCAUGGCGACGAUCUCUAGCUGGUUUGAGAGGAUGAUCAGCCACACUGGGACUGAGACACGGCCCAGACUCCUACGGGAGGCAGCAGUGGGGAAUAUUGCACAAUGGGCGAAAGCCUGAUGCAGCCAUGCCGCGUGUGUGAAGAAGGCCUUCGGGUUGUAAAGCACUUUCAGUUGUGAGGAAAGGUUAAUGGUUAAUACCCAUUAGCUGUGACGUUAGCAACAGAAGAAGGACCGGCUAACUCCGUGCCAGCAGCCGCGGUAAUACGGAGGGUCCGAGCGUUAAUCGGAAUUACUGGGCGUAAAGCGCACGCAGGCGGUUUGUUAAGCUAGAUGUGAAAGCCCCGGGCUCAACCUGGGAAUUGCAUUUAGAACUGGCAGGCUAGAGUCUUGGAGAGGGGAGUGGAAUUCCAGGUGUAGCGGUGAAAUGCGUAGAUAUCUGGAGGAACAUCAGUGGCGAAGGCGACUCCCUGGCCAAAGACUGACGCUCAUGUGCGAAAGUGUGGGUAGCGAACAG